GGUCGCCUGAUGUAGUGGUUAUCAUAUUCGCUUUACAAUGACACGGUUCACCCGAGUUUUCUACGCGAAAUGUCGCCGGUUCGAUCCCGGCGGUGACCU